rnacentral:rRNA from 1 species
UUAUGGCUCAGGAUGAACGCUAGCUACAGGCUAACACAUGCAAGUCGAGGGGCAGCAUUGGAGUAGCAAUACUUCAGAUGGCGACCGGCGCACGGGUGAGUAACACGUAUCCAACCUGCCGCUUACUCGGGGAUAGCCUUUCGAAAGAAAGAUUAAUACCCGAUGGUAUAAAGAGUUCGCAUGUUCUCUUUAUUAAAGAAUUUCGGUAAGCGAUGGGGAUGCGUUCCAUUAGAUAGUUGGCGGGUAACGGCCCACCAAGUCUACGAUGGAUAGGGGUUCUGAGAGGAAGGUCUCCCACAUUGGAACUGAGACACGGUCCAAACUCCUACGGGAGGCAGCAGUGAGGAAUAUUGGUCAAUGGACGAGAGUCUGAACCAGCCAAGUAGCGUGAAGGAUGACUGCCCUAUGGGUUGUAAACUUCUUUUAUAAGGGAAUAAAGUGAGGGACGUGUCCCUUUUUGUAUGUACCUUAUGAAUAAGGAUCGGCUAACUCCGUGCCAGCAGCUGC